rnacentral:misc_RNA from 1 species
UCUCCGUUGGUGAACCAGCGGCGGGAUCAUUACCGAGUUUACAACUCCCAAACCCCAUGUGAACCUUACCAAACGUUGCUUCGGCGGGAUGCCCCGGGCGCGGGCCGCAAGGCCUCAGCCCCGGAACCAGGCGCCCGCCGGAGGCCCAAACCAAACUCUUGUUUUUGUAGAAUCUUCUGAGUGGCCUUUUAGGCAAAAAAUGAAUCAAAACUUUCAACAACGGAUCUCUUGGUUCUG